GAUGAACGCUGGCGGCGUGCCUAAUACAUGCCAGUCGAGCGAACAGACGAGGAGCUUGCUCCUCUGACGUUAGCGGCGGACGGGUGAGUAACACGUGGAUAACCUACCUAUAAGACUGGGAUAACUUCGGGAAACCGGAGCUAAUACCGGAUAACAUGUUGAACCGCAUGGUUCAACAGUGAAAGACGGUCUUGCUGUCACUUAUAGAUGGAUCCGCGCCGCAUUAGCUAGUUGGUAAGGUAACGGCUUACCAAGGCAACGAUGCGUAGCCGACCUGAGAGGGUGAUCGGCCACACUGGAACUGAGACACGGUCCAGACUCCUACGGGAGGCAGCAGUAGGGAAUCUUCCGCAAUGGGCGAAGGCCUGACGGAGCAACGCCGCGUGAGUGAAGAAGGUCUUCGGAUCGUAAAACUCUGUUAUUAGGGAAGAACAAAUGUGUAAGUAACUAUGCACGUCUUGACGGUACCUAAUCAGAAAGCCACGGCUAACUACGUG
rnacentral:rRNA from 1 species